CGGGGAAUGGUGUAACUGGCAACAUGCCCGGCUUUGAACCGGGAGACGGUAUCGCUUGUGCUGGUUCGAGUCCAGCUUCCCCGG
rnacentral:tRNA from 1 species